CCUACGGGUGGCAGCAGUGAGGAAUAUUGGUCAAUGGACGAGAGUCUGAACCAGCCAAGUAGCGUGAAGGAUGACUGCCCUAUGGGUUGUAAACUUCUUUUAUAUGGGAAUAAAAUGUUCCACGUGUGGGAUUUUGUAUGUACCAUAUGAAUAAGGAUCGGCUAACUCCGUGCCAGCAGCCGCGGUAAUACGGAGGAUCCGAGCGUUAUCCGGAUUUAUUGGGGUUAAAGGGAGCGUAGGUGUAUUGUUAAGGCAGUGUUGAAAGUUUGCGGCUCAACCGUAAAAUUGCAGUUGAAACUGGCAGUCUUGAGUACAGUAGAGGUAGGCGGAAUUCGUGGUGUAGCGGUGAAAUGCUUAGAUAUCACGAAGAACUCCGAUUGCGAGGGCAGCCUGCUGGACUGUAACUGACGCUGAUGCUCGAACGUGUGGGUAUCAAACAGGAUUAGAUACCCCAGUAGUC
rnacentral:rRNA from 1 species